UCCUUUCCCAAUUGCAAACUUCUUCUUUAUUCGAUUUCCUGUUUUAACUCUUUCACCAAAAAAAAACAAUGAUAUGCUUAACUUGCCGGAGCAGUGAAACUGGAGAUUGAACUUUCUUUGAAGGAGAUCGAAUGUUUCAUGAAGGAGAUCGAGAAAAGCAAUAGUUGCACAAGAGAAUCGUUGGGUUUGAUUUUAUAUUGCUAGAGUUUAACCUAUCCCGAAAACACAGCAGCAAGAUAAGGGCUUGGACAUCCACCGCAGAAUCGUUGUGUUUGAUUUCCUAUUGCAAGGAUUCAACAAGAGAGUUGCAACCUAUCGCGAGAACACAUCAGCAAGAUAAGGGCUUGGACUUGGCCAGACAAAUGGAAGGUGGAACAUCACAAUUGUAGCCAAUCUUUGUCGAAAGAAAAAUGGUGGACUGUCAAAGUGAUGGAUACCCAGAUCUCAUACCAAAGGAUGCCAAUAUGGGAUCUGUGACCCCAACAUUGUACAUUGGGAAAACUUUUGGAAGUUCUGAACAAGCUUUUCAUGAAUAUAGCAUCUAUGCAAGGAAGCAGGGAUUCUCUGUUAAGAAGCAAAGGUGUGAAAAAAGAGAAACUGAGGAUCAUGAAGUAUAUCGACGAGACUUUGUUUGCCAUCGAUUUGGCAAUGGAAGUAAAAAAGGUGUAGUUAUUGAAAACAACAAAGAAUUAAGUCUUGUCGUUGUAAUUGUAAAGCACACAUGAGUGUUGGCUUGUCUAGGAAUGCGGAUGUGAUGUUGUGGGAAAUUCAUAGUUUUGCAGAUAACCACAACCACGAAUUACAAACAAGGUCCGUCAUGUGAGAGCAUAUCGGCAUAUUUCUGGCCACUAAAGGCAGCGUAUCUUGACACUUAAAAAAUCUAGGGUACUAGUUCCCCAAAUACUUAGGAUAUUGGAAACAGAGCAACAAGUUGGGGUUGGUUGUCUUUUAUUCAACGUGAAGGAUAUAUACAACUUCCUAAGCUCACAAAAAUUAUUUAUGAGGGAAAAUGAUACAGCCAAUCUUGUCCUCAAAUGCAAACAUUUGAAAUCCUUAGAUUUGGAGUUCCAAUAUGAGUAUCCAGUUGGCGACUACAACCAUUUGGAGUACAUUACUUGGUGUCACAGCAGUUCUGUUCGUGGUUAUCAACUCUAUGGUGAUGUUGUUGUUUUUGACACAACUUAGAAGUUAAAUGUGUAUAACAUGCCUAUAGGUGUAUGGGUUGGUGUGAAUAACCAUGGCUGUUUUAUUUUUCUUGGGUGUUUUUUAAUAAGGGAUGAGAGACAAACGUCUUUUGAGUGGGCAUUCAAGGUAUUAGUCUAAUUUUUUUAUACACUUGUACUCUACUUUUUAACAAUGUAUGCUGAUAGGUGUUCUUGAAGUUAAUCAGUGGCAAGGCCUCCAAAAAUAUUAUCACUGAUGAUGAUCCCCAAAUUGGUGCUGCCAUUGAGAACAUUUGUCCGGCCACGAAGCACGCAUUAUGCAUGUGGCAUAUUGCAAAAAAAAUUUCCCGAAGUGUUGUCUAUUGUUUUGAAAGCUCGAUUUAAGGAAUGGAACAAGACCUUUCAAGAACUAAGCAAGAUAGAGACAGUCGAAGACUUUGACAAGGGUUGGCAAUCAAUGUUGGAAGAGUACGAGUUAGUAACUAAUGUACAUUUAAGGAGACUAUUUUGUGGCCGUACUAUGUGGGCAAAACCAUAUCUCAGGUCUUAUUUCUUUGCUGGGAUGAGGACUACUGGCAGAUCCAAGUCAAUGAAUGCAUUCAUAAAGCAGAUAAUUUCAUCACAAACUCUUCUAACAGAUUUUAUUGAUUAGGUAUCAGUACUUAAUUGUGUGAUUUUUUGGUUUUUUUAUUACUGUUUUUAAUUUGUGAUAUUUGGAGCUAGUGAGAUCGAUUAUUUCACUAAGCAUCUUGUCAUCUAAUUGUUGUUGUUUGCUCAUAUUGGAAAGGCAGCAGAUAUGUUGGAUCAAAAGGGAGAGCAGAAAGGCAUGCAACAAAAAGCAACUAUAGUAUCAAUUUUGACUCAACACCCAAUUGAGUUGCAUGCCUCUAAAAUUCUCACUCCCUAUGCCUUCCUUAAGUCCCAGAACGAGAUAGUGGAAUCCUAGUCAUACGCAUGUUAUGAACAUGACCCUGGGUUUUGGAUCGUUCGACAUGCGGAGCAUGAUGUUAAGUGGAGAACAGUUCAACAUUUAGUUGGGGAAGAAACUGUUAAGUGUAGUUGUAAGUCCUUCGAGUUUAAAGGCAUCCUUUGUAGGCAUGCAACUGUUGUCCUCAUAAGAAGCAACUUAUUUCAUACACCUGACCAAUACCUACUCCCACGGUGGCGACGCGAUGC